UACGAAGGGGGCUAGCGUUGCUCGGAAUCACUGGGCGUAAAGCGCACGUAGGCGGACUCUUAAGUCGGUGGUGAAAUCCUGGAGCUCAACUCCAGAACUGCCUUCGAUACUGGGAGUCUCGAGUUCGGAAGAGGUGAGUGGAACUGCGAGUGUAGAGGUGAAAUUCGUAGAUAUUCGCAAGAACACCAGUGGCGAAGGCGGCUCACUGGUCCGAUACUGACGCUGAGGUGCGAAAAGCGUGGGGAGCAAACAGGG
rnacentral:rRNA from 1 species